GCUUGCUUGGUGGAUCAGUGGCGAACGGGUGAGUAACACGUGAGCAACCUGCCCUGGACUCUGGGAUAAGCGCUGGAAACGGCGUCUAAUACUGGAUAUGAGACGUGAUCGCAUGGUCGUGUUUGGAAAGAUUUUUCGGUCUGGGAUGGGCUCGCGGCCUAUCAGCUUGUUGGUGAGGUAAUGGCUCACCAAGGCGUCGACGGGUAGCCGGCCUGAGAGGGUGACCGGCCACACUGGGACUGAGACACGGCCCAGACUCCUACGGGAGGCAGCAGUGGGGAAUAUUGCACAAUGGGCGGAAGCCUGAUGCAGCAACGCCGCGUGAGGGAUGACGGCCUUCGGGUUGUAAACCUCUUUUAGCAGGGAAGAAGCGUAAGUGACGGUACCUGCAGAAAAAGCGCCGGCUAACUACGUGCCAGCAGCCGCGGUAAUACGUAGGGCGCAAGCGUUAUCCGGAAUUAUUGGGCGUAAAGAGCUCGUAGGCGGUUUGUCGCGUCUGCUGUGAAAUCCCGAGGCUCAACCUCGGGCCUGCAGUGGGUACGGGCAGACUAGAGUGCGGUAGGGGAGAUUGGAAUUCCUGGUGUAGCGGUGGAAUGCGCAGAUAUCAGGAGGAACACCGAUGGCGAAGGCAGAUCUCUGGGCCGUAACUGACGCUGAGGAGCGAAAGGGUGGGGAGCAAACAGGCUUAGAUACCCUGGUAGUCCACCCCGUAAACGUUGGGAACUAGUUGUGGGGACCAUUCCACGGUUUCCGUGACGCAGCUAACGCAUUAAGUUCCCCGCCUGGGGAGUACGGCCGCAAGGCUAAAACUCAAAGGAAUUGACGGGGACCCGCACAAGCGGCGGAGCAUGCGGAUUAAUUCGAUGCAACGCGAAGAACCUUACC
rnacentral:rRNA from 1 species